GAUGAACGCUGGCGGCGUGCUUAACACAUGCAAGUCGAGCGAAGCAGUUAAGAAGAUUCUUCGGAUGAAACUUGAUUGACUGAGCGGCGGACGGGUGAGUAACGCGUGGGUGACCUGCCCCAUACCGGGGGAUAACAGCUGGAAACGGCUGCUAAUACCGCAUAAGCGCACAGAGCUGCAUGGCUCAGUGUGAAAAACUCCGGUGGUAUGGGAUGGGCCCGCGUCUGAUUAGGCAGUUGGCGGGGUAACGGCCCACCAAACCGACGAUCAGUAGCCGGCCUGAGAGGGCGACCGGCCACAUUGGGACUGAGACACGGCCCAAACUCCUACGGGAGGCAGCAGUGGGGAAUAUUGCACAAUGGGGGAAACCCUGAUGCAGCGACGCCGCGUGAGCGAAGAAGUAUUUCGGUAUGUAAAGCUCUAUCAGCAGGGAAGAUAAUGACGGUACCUGACUAAGAAGCCCCGGCUAACUACGUGCCAGCAGCCGCGGUAAUACGUAGGGGGCAAGCGUUAUCCGGAUUUACUGGGUGUAAAGGGAGCGUAGACGGCAAGGCAAGUCUGAUGUGAAAACCCAGGGCUUAACCCUGGGACUGCAUUGGAAACUGUCUGGCUCGAGUGCCGGAGAGGUAAGCGGAAUUCCUAGUGUAGCGGUGAAAUGCGUAGAUAUUAGGAAGAACACCAGUGGCGAAGGCGGCUUACUGGACGGUAACUGACGUUGAGGC
rnacentral:rRNA from 1 species